GAUGAACGCUGGCGGCGUGCCUAAUACAUGCAAGUCGAGCGAACGGACGAGAAGCUUGCUUCUCUGAUGUUAGCGGCGGACGGGUGAGUAACACGUGGAUAACCUACCUAUAAGACUGGGAUAACUUCGGGAAACCGUAGCUAGUACCGGAUAAUAUUUUGAACCGCAUGGUUCAAAAGUGAAAGACGGUCUUGCUGUCACUUAUAGAUGGAUCCGCGCUGCAUUAGAUAGUUGGUAAGGUAACGGCUUACCAAGGCAACGAUGCAUAGCCGACCUGAGAGGGGGGUCGGCCACACUAGAACUGAGACACGGACCUGACUCCUGCGGGAGGCAGCAGUAGGGAAUCUUCCGCAAUGGGCGAGAGCCUGACGGAGCGACGCCGCGUGAGUGAUGAAGGUCUUCGGAUCGUAAAACUCUGUUAUUAGGGAAGAACAUAUGUGUAAGUAACUGUGCACACCUUGACGGUACCUAAUCAGAAAGCCACGGCUAACUACGUG
rnacentral:rRNA from 1 species